UAGCAUACAUCCUUGUGUUAGGUCAAACUGCAAGAGCGCACUUCCUUCUCAGCUCCUGCUUCCCCCUACGUUUUGCCUCAUCUUUUUCCUCUAUACACUGCCACCAGAUCAGCCUCCAUGCUGCAGCUUCCUCCCAUGCUCUCAACACCGAAGCAAUCUUCUACGUCCCGUAGCGCCGAUGCGAAGAUGCAUCCUUUCGAUGUUCUGGCAUCGGUGAAGGAUGAUCCAUCGCUGUCACCGCAGCUGCGGGAAAAGAUUGGUGGUGCACUCGUGCGGCUGCGUGAAAUUUGUAAGACGGCGGACCCGCCGAGCGUGGCGAAGGCGCCACCGAGAAGCUGCGCGCAUAGCUACUUCGAAGAGAUGAUUAGCGGGCACGCGCCGCUUCGGUUCUCUUGCCACAGCAGCGAGUCAACGCACACGCGUGCCAAGCACUUCGACAUUGCCUCCUCGCGACUCCCAGGGCCCAUUGUGAUGUCCUCUAGCAAGACCCUCAUGCAGCGCACCACGCCUGCCCUCCAGAGUCCGAAAGAAAUAUUUGCAGAGCUCAACGCCAUCGCCUUUCAGACACUUCGAUACAUCGAUGAGGUGGAGCAGAUCGAAUUUGACGUCACCAACGUCUGUGAGCACGACGGCAGCAUCAUGGAGGACAAGGAGCGCCUGUUCCUCUCCGUUUGCUGCAGUGUGUUUGCAAACUUUUCCUUCUUCACCUCGCUACGCAUCAACGCGGAGAAGUUCUUGCACUUUCUCCGCAAACUUUUCACAUGUUACCCGCUCGACAACAGCUACCACAACGCCACACAUGCGGCGGAUGCGCUUCAGAUGAUGUCGCUCUUUUUCAGAGAGCCCACUGUAAACUUCCUCUUCUCCGACGAAGAGAUAGCAAUUUGUUUUCUGGCUGUGCUAGCCGUCGAUGUCGCGCAUCCUGGCGCGUCCGACGCACUUCUGGUCGCACUGGACCACCCCUUAGCGUCCGUGUUUGGCGAUGUCGCAAUCGCUGAGCACGCGUCUCUCCUGGUUUUGACGAGCGUGCUCGUACUGGAGGACAAUUUCUUCUUCUCAACGCCCGACGAGGCCGUCUCAGUGGACAGUGCCCAUCUUGUGAAGGAGGCACUGUACGACGUGGUGCUGAAUGCAGCACUGCGUAGCCGGCCUUCCCUAAUGUCUGCCUUGCGCGACAUCGAGACGAGCGGUCGCAUAACCGACGCCGAUGCCCCAAAGCUGAUGGCGGCACUGCUGGUGAUGGCGUGCAACAGCUUUGCAUUUCGCUCGCAGGCACAGUGCUGCCGAAUGGGUGCGUGGUUUCUCUCGGAGCUCCACCGAGAGGAGUGCGAGAUGGAGCGGCACGGCAUUCGUGUUACUCUGCCCCACGUUGCGGGGGCCGACUGCGCCGCAGUGCUGUCAGACUACAUAAACAUUGUCGUAAAGCCGGUGACGGCGGCUACCCUUGCCCUCGUUCCUACGGAUCUGCAGGACCGUUUGGAGUGGAACGCAGACCUUGUGGAUGCGGCAGCUAGCACGGGGGGUCGUGCUUGCAAGGUUGUCGUGGAGAGUUCCCUUGCGCAGUGGAUGACGAGUUCGCUGUCUGUGAUGGAGAUACUGAAAAAAGUAGCCACGCACGCAAGCAGCGUGGACCGGAAAGCCUCCAAGUGCGCUAUUCUCAACGCCUCUCCGUCGCGCUCCCAGGGAGCGGCUCCAGGCAUGAUGCGGGCCGACUCACUUAGCAGCAACAGCUCCACGUCAGGCUCUAUGAGUGCCGCGAAGCGAGAAGCCACGAGUAACUGCCCGCAGCUCUCGUUUACGUCGGAACCGUGCUCAGCGGCUGGGAGUCCGACAGCGCGUCCCGGCCGGUCGGAGCACUACUUCUCCUUUCUGCGCCUCUACGACAAGUGCGAGCGCGCGGGAGAAUCAGCAAAAGACUUUGUGGGGCAGCUUAUCUUUCUUGCGCUACAGUUGGAUCCCCGGUACAUCGCUGCCUAUGCGCGGAAGGAGUACGGAGAUGACUGCUGUGGUGCCGAAUGCGCCGAAAUGGGGCUCUUGAUCAGCAAAAUGGAGGAGGCACCUUCCACAGCCGAGGUGAUCGCCAGCCGCCCUCCUGGCGGAUCCUUCUCGAAUCGUGUUGCGGACGAGAUCGACCACACGGACAGUUUUAUUUUGUUCUUGAUGGACAUGUACUGCUCCCGUGAGGCGGCGCUAGCGGAGAUGGAGUCGGCGGUGCCGGUAAGCGACAAGGCGAAGACGCCACCGCCGGCAGAACCCGCACCUCCCAAGGCGGCGCCACAGUGUCAGCAGAACUCGCCCAUUAGGAUGCCGGUCAACACGGAGAGCAAAAACACAGGCCCUAGGCUGCGACUAGUGCCAUAGCCGCUUGGCAAUUCGCUUUGCUGCUUUCCUCUCGCCCUUUGCUUGAUGUAUCCUACUUGAUGGUCAAACUCUUUUCCCCCUGUUUUGUGUAUUUGAGUUGCACAGUUCUCGCCCACCAGUGCAGGCUGCACGUAGCAGGUUGACUGAGCCGCUUACGACCUGUGUUGGCCGUACACGUGAGCACUGUUUACGAUAGGGCAACUGCUUCUGCUACUGCGAAACAACCGAGGCGCCAACUGAACAAAGAAGCAGCAAACGUGGGGUUAGGCACGCGGCCUCUCUCCCUAUUUCAUUCUCUCGUAUUUCUGUGUGUCCUUGACGCACGCUCUUUUUUCUUGAGUCUGUUGUUUUUCUUCACCGAUACGUCUUGGUCCUCAGCUCUUAGACCUUCCGGAUACACACAAUCGCUCUCCCUCCCCCUUCUCUCUGGCAUUACAUUCUCCUUCCGCAUCGUUUCAUAUUGAACUUAGCAGUGAAAAGGAAAGGAGUAAACUGCGCGCUCCCUUAUUCGCGCCUUUCUGCCGUGCACACUUGACGCCAGCCUGCGGCAAACGUUGAUGAGAAAGCUUACAGCGUCGCAUGACAUCCGCACUCUUGCAAAGGUGCAGAUAUUGUAGAGCGG
rnacentral:misc_RNA from 1 species